AUUGAACGCUGGCGGCAUGCCUUACACAUGCAAGUCGAACGGCAGCACGGGAGCAAUCCUGGUGGCGAGUGGCGAACGGGUGAGUAAUAUAUCGGAACGUGCCCAGUCGUGGGGAUAACGUAGCGAAAGCUACGCUAAUACCGCAUACGAUCUAUGGAUGAAAGCGGGGGAUCGCAAGACCUCGCGCGAUUGGAGCGGCCGAUAUCAGAUUAGGUAGUUGGUGAGGUAAAGGCUCACCAAGCCGACGAUCUGUAGCUGGUCUGAGAGGACGACCAGCCACACUGGGACUGAGACACGGCCCAGACUCCUACGGGAGGCAGCAGUGGGGAAUUUUGGGACAAUGGGGGCAACCCUGAUCCAGCAAUGCCGCGUGAGUGAAGAAGGCCUCGGGUUGUAAAGACGUCUUUUGUUCUAGGGAAGGAAACGGUAGAGUUCUAAUAAAGACUUGCUAAUGACGGUACCUGAAGAAUAAGACACCGG
rnacentral:rRNA from 1 species